rnacentral:rRNA from 1 species
GACGAACGCUGGCGGCGUGCUUAACACAUGCAAGUCGAACGCUGAAGCUCAGCUUUUGUUGGGUGGAUGAGUGGCGAACGGGUGAGUAACACGUGAGUAACCUGCCCCCUUCUUUGGGAUAACGCCCGGAAACGGGUGCUAAUACUGGAUAUUCACUGGUCUUCGCAUGGGGGUUGGUGGAAAGGGUUUUUCUGGUGGGUGAUGGGCUCGCGGCCUAUCAGCUUGUUGGUGGGGUGAUGGCCUACCAAGGCUUUGACGGGUAGCCGGCCUGAGAGGGUGAACGGUAACAUUGGGACUGAGAUACGGCCCAGACUCCUACGGGAGGCAGAAGUGGGGAAUAUUGCACAAUGGGCGCAAGCCUGAUGCAGCGACGCCGCGUGAGGGAUGGAGGCCUUCGGGUUGUGAACCUCUUUCGCUCAUGGUCAAGCCGCAACAAUGGUUGUGGUGAGGGUAGUGGGUAAAGAAGCGCCGGCUAACUACGUG